AGGGUCCUACGGGGGGCAGCAGUGAGGAAUAUUGGUCAAUGGGCGAGAGCCUGAACCAGCCAAGUCGCGUGAAGGAUGACGGCCCUAUGGGUUGUAAACUUCUUUUGUCAGGGAGCAAUUGGGUCCACGUGUGGGCUUAGCGAGAGUACCUGAAGAAAAAGCAUCGGCUAACUCCGUGCCAGCAGCCGCGGUAAUACGGAGGAUGCGAGCGUUAUCCGGAUUUAUUGGGUUUAAAGGGUGCGCAGGCGGGAGAUCAAGUCAGCGGUAAAAUGUCGGGGCUCACCCCCGGCCGGCGGUUGAAACUG
rnacentral:rRNA from 1 species